CCAGACCUAGAGAAUCAAGACAUAAUGGGAGCAUUUUUAGACAAACCAAAGAUGGAAAAACAUAAUGCCCAGGGGCAGGGUAAUGGGUUGCGAUAUGGGCUAAGCAGCAUGCAAGCCUGGCGAGUUGAAAUGGAGGAUGCACAUACUGCUGUGAUCGGUUUGCCAAGUGGACUUGAAACAUGGUCAUUCUUUGCUGUGUAUGAUGGGCAUGCUGGUUCUCAGGUUGCCAAAUACUGCUGUGAGCAUUUGUUAGAUCACAUCACCAAUAACCAGGAUUUUAAAGGGUCUGCAGGAGCACCUUCUGUGGAAAAUGUAAAGAAUGGAAUCAGAACAGGUUUCCUGGAGAUUGAUGAACAUAUGAGAGUUAUGUCAGAGAAGAAACAUGGUGCUGAUAGAAGUGGGUCAACAGCUGUGGGUGUCUUAAUUUCUCCUCAACAUACUUACUUCAUUAACUGUGGAGACUCAAGAGGUUUACUUUGUAGGAACAGGAAAGUUUACUUCUUCACACAAGAUCACAAACCAAGUAAUCUGCUGGAAAAAGAACGAAUUCAGAAUGCAGGUGGUUCUGUAAUGAUUCAGCGUGUGAAUGGCUCUCUGGCUGUGUCGAGGGCCCUUGGGGACUUUGAUUACAAAUGUGUCCAUGGAAAAGGUCCUACAGAGCAGCUUGUUUCACCAGAGCCUGAAGUCCAUGAUAUUGAAAGAUCUGAAGAAGAUGAUCAAUUCAUUAUUCUUGCAUAUGAUGGUAGUUGGGAUGUCAGCUCUGUGAUUUUGUAAGAUCCAGACUUGAGGUCACUGAUGACCUUGAGAAAGUUUGCAAUGAAGUAGUCGACACCUGUUUGUAUAAGGGAAGUCGAGACAACAUGAGUGUGAUAUUGAUCUGUUUUCCAAAUGCACCCAAAGUAUCACCAGAAGCAGUGAAGAAGGAGGAAGAGUUGGACAAAUACCUGGAAAGCAGAGUAGAAGAAAUCAUAAAGAAGCAGGGGGAAGGCGUCCCUGACUUAGUCCAUGUGAUGUGCACAUUAGUGAGUGAGAACAUACCCAGCCUCCCACCAGGGGGUGAACUGGCGAGCAAGCGGAAUGUAAUUGAAGCCAUUUACAAUAGACUGAAUCUGUACAAAAAUGAUGACACCGACUCUACAUCAACUGAUGAUAUGUGGUAAAACUGCUCAUCUAGUCAUGGAUUUACCUUCACCUCCAAAGGAGAGUACAGCUCAACUUCACUGAACCUUUUAAACAUCCAUCCUCAACUUUUAAGAAGGGCAUAUAUGACAUGGGUGAGAGUGAUUACACCAGAGAACUUCAGCAGUACAACAGCUAGCCCACAACUGAUUUUUUUUGUUGGUGUAAAUUUGAGACUCAUGUAAAUGUGAUUUCAAACCAUAAUUCAUAUGUUGUAAAUCAGACUCCAGCAAUUUUUGUUGUAUGAUUUUGUUUUUUGUAAAGUAUAAUUGUCCUUGUAAAAAAUGCUCAUAUUUAAUUAUGAACUGCUUUAAAUCACUAUCGAAGUUACAAGAAGUAUUUGGCUUACUGUGUGAUACAACAGAUAUAUAGCCCUUUCAAGUCAUGUUGUGUUUGGACUUGGGGUUGGGACAGGAAGAGCAGCAGCCAUGUCAGCUAGACACUCACAUGUGCACCUGAUUAUGCAGAAUUAUUCCGAAGUAUUAUUACAAAGCUGAAUAUCCAGGGAGUUAAUUGAAAACUAUUUUAAUGUUCUUGGCAGUGGGAUUGGAAUUGUUGAUAAAGUUGGUCCCUUCAUUUAACUGUCUUUUAGGUUCUUUCCUUGUUGCCAUGAGUAUUGCAGGUAAUAGAAUAUAUUCAUAAAAAUAUCAAUCUUGGGGCUAAAAUGCCUUGAUUCUUUGCACCUCUUUUACAAGUCCGUACAUUUAAUUACUAAUUGAUAAGCAGUAGCUUCCUACAAAUGGUAGGACACUGCCACGUCUUUGCUAUCAUGAUUGGCUGGGCCUGCUGCUGUUCCUAGUAAGAUAUUCUGAAUUCCAUUUUAUCAAUAAAGCUUGAUUUAACAAACAAGAAAAAAAAA